rnacentral:rRNA from 1 species
UAGUCAUAUGCUUGUCUUAAAGAUUAAGCCAUGCAUGUCCAAGUAUAAGCCCUUAGGGGUGAAACUGCGGAUGGCUCAUUAAAUCGGUUCGAAUCUACAUGAGAAUUUCAUUUAAAUGGAUAACCACGGAAAAUCUGCGGCUAAUACAUGCACAAAAGGGGUACUUCUGGUGCCUCAGCAUUUAUCAGCUUAUGAAUCGGAUGGGAGUCGCAAGACUCUCUAGGUGAAUCAUGAUAAAAAUAAUGUGGAUCGCAUGGCCUUGAGCUGGCGAUGUUUCAUUCGACAUUCCGCCCUAUCAACUUUGGAUGGUAGUGUAGUGGACUACCAUGGUGGUUACGGGUGACGGAGAAUUGGGGUUCGAUUCCGGAGAGGGAGCCUGAGAGAUGGCUACCACUUCCAAGGAAGGCAGCAGGCGCGAAAAUUGCCAAACCUACAAAGUAGGAGGCAGUGACAAUAAAUAUCGGAGGGUCAAAUGAUCCGACUGGAAUGAGAUGAAAGUAAAUUUAUCUACGAGAAACAAUUG